GACACUGCUGCUGCUUGUUUGAUUGCUUGUCACUGCCAAUGCAGAGAGGUUCUUGCUGAGUUCAUCCACUGCGGGGCUUCAUGCAGCUCCUCAAUCUGGAUGGAGUUGGACUCUGCCUGACCUGGAGUCAGGAAAGACUCCUUACUGCUCCCUCCUGGAGGGUGAUCUGCUACCCCUUAAGUGCUGCCUUGAGCAAGAGGCUCACCAGACCCUCCACCUACUAGAGAUUUACGCCCCUCAAAUGUGGUGCCAUCUUCCCGGUCCUGAGAUUCCCUACAUCAAGUAACAGACCCUAACAAUAUGUCCUCCAGUCUAUAAUUUC